rnacentral:rRNA from 1 species
AACCGGGGGAACUGAAACAUCUAAGUACCCCGAGGAAAAGAAAUCAACCGAGAUUCCCCCAGUAGCGGCGAGCGAACGGGGAGCAGCCCAGAGCCUGAAUCAGUGUGUGUGUUAGUGGAAGCGUCUGGAAAGGCGUGCGAUACAGGGUGACAGCCCCGUACACAAAAAUGCACAUAUUGUGAGCUCGAUGAGUAGGGCGGGACACGUGGUAUCCUGUCUGAAUAUGGGGGGACCAUCCUCCAAGGCUAAAUACUCCUGACUGACCGAUAGUGAACCAGUACCGUGAGGGAAAGGCGAAAAGAACCCCGGCGAGGGGAGUGAAAAAGAACCUGAAACCGUGUACGUACAAGCAGUGGGAGCACGCUUAGGCGUGUGACUGCGUACCUUUUGUAUAAUGGGUCAGCGACUUAUAUUCUGUAGCAAGGUUAACCGAAUAGGGGAGCCGAAGGGAAACCGAGUCUUAACUGGGCGUUAAGUUGCAGGGUAUAGACCCGAAACCCGGUGAUCUAGCCAUGGGCAGGUUGAAGGUUGGGUAACACUAACUGGAGGACCGAACCGACUAAUGUUGAAAAAUUAGCGGAUGACUUGUGGCUGGGGGUGAAAGGCCAAUCAAACCGGGAGAUAGCUGGUUCUCCCCGAAAGCUAUUUAGGUAGCGCCUCGUGAAUUCAUCUCCGGGGGUAGAGCACUGUUUCGGCAAGGGGGUCAUCCCGACUUACCAACCCGAUGCAAACUGCGAAUACCGGAGAAUGUUAUCACGGGAGACACACGGCGGGUGCUAACGUCCGUCGUGAAGAGGGAAACAACCCAGACCGCCAGCUAAGGUCCCAAAGUCAUGGUUAAGUGGGAAACGAUGUGGGAAGGCCCAGACAGCCAGGAUGUUGGCUUAGAAGCAGCCAUCAUUUAAAGAAAGCGUAAUAGCUCACUGGUCGAGUCGGCCUGCGCGGAAGAUGUAACGGGGCUAAACCAUGCACCGAAGCUGCGGCAGCGACGCUGAUGCGUUGUUGGGUAGGGGAGCGUUCUGUAAGCCUGUGAAGGUGUGCUGUGAGGUAUGCUGGAGGUAUCAGAAGUGCGAAUGCUGACAUAAGUAACGAUAAAGCGGGUGAAAAGCCCGCUCGCCGGAAGACCAAGGGUUCCUGUCCAACGUUAAUCGGGGCAGGGUGAGUCGACCCCUAAGGCGAGGCCGAAAGGCGUAGUCGAUGGGAAACAGGUUAAUAUUCCUGUACUUGGUGUUACUGCGAAGGGGGGACGGAGAAGGCUAUGUUGGCCGGGCGACGGUUGUCCCGGUUUAAGCGUGUAGGCUGGUUUUCCAGGCAAAUCCGGAAAACUAAGGCUGAGGCGUGAUGACGAGGCACUACGGUGCUGAAGCAACAAAUGCCCUGCUUCCAGGAAAAGCCUCUAAGCAUCAGGUAACAUCAAAUCGUACCCCAAACCGACACAGGUGGUCAGGUAGAGAAUACCAAGGCGCUUGAGAGAACUCGGGUGAAGGAACUAGGCAAAAUGGUGCCGUAACUUCGGGAGAAGGCACGCUGAUAUGUAGGUGAAGUCCCUCGCGGAUGGAGCUGAAAUCAGUCGAAGAUACCAGCUGGCUGCAACUGUUUAUUAAAAACACAGCACUGUGCAAACACGAAAGUGGACGUAUACGGUGUGACGCCUGCCCGGUGCCGGAAGGUUAAUUGAUGGGGUCAGCGCAAGCGAAGCUCUUGAUCGAAGCCCCGGUAAACGGCGGCCGUAACUAUAACGGUCCUAAGGUAGCGAAAUUCCUUGUCGGGUAAGUUCCGACCUGCACGAAUGGCGUAAUGAUGGCCAGGCUGUCUCCACCCGAGACUCAGUGAAAUUGAACUCGCUGUGAAGAUGCAGUGUACCCGCGGCAAGACGGAAAGACCCCGUGAACCUUUACUAUAGCUUGACACUGAACAUUGAGCCUUGAUGUGUAGGAUAGGUGGGAGGCUUUGAAGUGUGGACGCCAGUCUGCAUGGAGCCGACCUUGAAAUACCACCCUUUAAUGUUUGAUGUUCUAACGUUGACCCGUAAUCCGGGUUGCGGACAGUGUCUGGUGGGUAGUUUGACUGGGGCGGUCUCCUCCUAAAGAGUAACGGAGGAGCACGAAGGUUGGCUAAUCCUGGUCGGACAUCAGGAGGUUAGUGCAAUGGCAUAAGCCAGCUUGACUGCGAGCGUGACGGCGCGAGCAGGUGCGAAAGCAGGUCAUAGUGAUCCGGUGGUUCUGAAUGGAAGGGCCAUCGCUCAACGGAUAAAAGGUACUCCGGGGAUAACAGGCUGAUACCGCCCAAGAGUUCAUAUCGACGGCGGUGUUUGGCACCUCGAUGUCGGCUCAUCACAUCCUGGGGCUGAAGUAGGUCCCAAGGGUAUGGCUGUUCGCCAUUUAAAGUGGUACGCGAGCUGGGUUUAGAACGUCGUGAGACAGUUCGGUCCCUAUCUGCCGUGGGCGCUGGAGAACUGAGGGGGGCUGCUCCUAGUACGAGAGGACCGGAGUGGACGCAUCACUGGUGUUCGGGUUGUCAUGCCAAUGGCACUGCCCGGUAGCUAAAUGCGGAAGAGAUAAGUGCUGAAAGCAUCUAAGCACGAAACUUGCCCCGAGAUGAGUUCUCCCUGACUCCUUGAGAGUCCUGAAGGAACGUUGAAGACGACGACGUUGAUAGGCCGGGUGUGUAAGCGCAGCGAUGCGUUGAGCUAACCGGUACUAAUGAACCGUGAGGCUUAACCUU